rnacentral:rRNA from 1 species
UACGUAGGGGGCAAGCGUUGUCCGGAUUUAUUGGGCGUAAAGAGCGUGUAGGCGGCCAUACAGGUCCGUUGUGAAAACUCGAGGCUUAACCUCGAGACGUCGAUGGAAACCGUAUGGCUAGAGUCCGGAAGAGGAGAGUGGAAUUCCUGGUGUAGCGGUGAAAUGCGCAGAUAUCAGGAAGAACACCCGUGGCGAAGGCGGCUCUCUGGGACGGUACUGACGCUGAGACGCGAAAGCCAGGGGAGCAAACGGG